UCCCCAUGAACUUGUUUUUAAGGACAAAACUUAAACCAUGGUGGAUGAACCACGACCAUGCGAUCGGAGCGUGAUUGACGGCUACAUCUCUCUUAUAGUUUCAAGGUUGUAGAAGAUCGUUACUCUGUUGGUUCUCUUCCAUGAUGGGGUGGUAUCUUUGCGGUCUAACAGGUU
rnacentral:snoRNA from 1 species